rnacentral:misc_RNA from 1 species
UUUUAUUUAACAUUUUUUUCAUCAUACACGUACCACAGAGAGAAACAGAGGAUGAACAGAAAACAGAGGAUGAACUCAUAAAAUUAAAGCUCUUCUCUAACAGAGGACUCUUUUCCUUGUUGUUUACUCUCAAUAGACACAACUUUAGGACCUUUAAUUCUAUCAGCAGACAAUUUAGCAAAUGAAAUUGUAAGCACACCAUUUUCAAG